rnacentral:misc_RNA from 1 species
CCGAGUUUACAACUCCCAAACCCAAUGUGAACGUUACCAAACUGUUGCCUCGGCGGGAUCUCUGCCCCGGGUGCGUCGCAGCCCCGGACCAAGGCGCCCGCCGGAGGACCAACCAAAACUCUGAUUUGAUAUAGCAAGUCUUUCUGAGUAAAACAUUCUAAAUGAAUCA